rnacentral:rRNA from 1 species
UAGCUAGUUGGUGAGGUAAAGGCUUACCAAGGCGACGAUCUGUAGCGGGUCUGAGAGGAUGAUCCGCCACACUGGAACUGAGACACGGUCCAGACUCCUACGGGAGGCAGCAGUGGGGAAUUUUGGACAAUGGGGGCAACCCUGAUCCAGCCAUGCCGCGUGAGUGAAGAAGGCCUUCGGGUUGUAAAGCUCUUUCGGCCGGGAAGAAUCGCAUGGGCCAAUACCCUGUGUGGAUGACGGUACCGGAAUAAGAAGCACCGGCUAACUACGUGCCAGCAGCCGCGGUAAUACGUAGGGUGCGAGCGUUAAUCGGAAUUACUGGGCGUAAAGCGUGCGCAGGCGGUUUUGUAAGACAGGCGUGAAAUCCCCGGGCUUAACCUGGGAACUGCGUUUGUGACUGCAAGGCUAGAGUACGGCAGAGGGGGGUGGAAUUCCACGUGUAGCAGUGAAAUGCGUAGAGAUGUGGAGGAACACCAAUGGCGAAGGCAGCCCCCUGGGUCGAUACUGACGCUCAUGCACGAAAGCGUGGGUAGCAAACAGGAUUAGAUACCCUGGUAGUCCACGCCCUAAACUAUGUCAACUAGGUGUUGGGUGGGUAAAACCAUUUAGUACCGUAGCUAACGCGUGAAGUUGACCGCCUGGGGAGUACGGCCGCAAGGUUAAAACUCAAAGGAAUUGACGGGGACCCGCACAAGCGGUGGAUGAUGUGGAUUAAUUCGAUGCAACGCGAAAAACCUUACCUACCCUUGACAUGCCAGGAACUUGCCAGAGAUGGCUUGGUGCCCGAAAGGGAGCCUGGACACAGGUGCUGCAUGGCUGUCGUCAGCUCGUGUCGUGAGAUGUUGGGUUAAGUCCCGCAACGAGCGCAACCCUUGUCGUUAAUUGCCAUCAUUUAGUUGGGCACUUUAACGAGACUGCCGGUGACAAACCGGAGGAAGGUGGGGAUGACGUCAAGUCCUCAUGGCCCUUAUGGGUAGGGCUUCACACGUCAUACAAUGGUCGGUACAAAGGGUUGCCAAGCCGCGAGGCGGAGCCAAUCCCAGAAAGCCGAUCGUAGUCCGGAUUGCAGGCUGCAACUCGCCUGCAUGAAGUCGGAAUCGCUAGUAAUCGUGGAUCAGCAUGUCACGAUGAAUACGUUCCCGGGUCUUGUACACACCGCCCGUCACACCAUGGGAGCGGGUUCCGCCAGAAGUAGGUAGCCUAACCGCAAGGGGGGCGCUUACCACGGCGGGGUUCGUGACUGGGGUGAAGUCGGAACAAGGUAGCCGUAGGGGAACCUGCGGCUG